GGAAGAAUUGUUAGGAAUCAUAGUGUCUUCAGAUUUGGAGGACGGUGCUACUUCUUUCACAUCAAUAUAAGUGCUUAAGAAUAAGGUAAGUAUCGUGUUGCAUUCUCUAAUGACUUAAAGUAUGAUACCAUGGUAAGUCAAUAUUAAAAGAUGGUUUAAAUAUGUUUUAUGUCCUUGAAAAUGUACAAUAUUUUUCUUUUCAGGUCCUAAUGGAGUGAUAUGAGGAACCAUAGCGUAAUCUUUAGGGUCGAAGAUGGAAAAUCUGGACGUGUCCAGAAUACCUAGGUUCGGUAAACAAGGGUCAUAUACAAUGCCCCUACCAUGGUUAGUAUUCAUUGGAAUGAAUAACUUCU
rnacentral:lncRNA from 1 species